AGGGGGGUGUCAGGCGUGUGAGACACUGUCUGGCCUGCGCGGUGCCUGGGGCUCCGGGCGAGGGUGGCACACAGCCCUUCCCUGCUGGGGCCAGCCUUCUUCCAUCUGGGACCAGGAGUCCAGAGGCAGCCGCCACCGAACGAGGGCAGUCACUGGGUGACUCAUAAGCCAGUUUCCGCAGGCGGCUGCCACAGUUUUCGACCCCUGAGCCUGUACAGUGAGGCGCAAGAGCUGCCUCUUGCCAGGCCAGCGAGAUGCCAGGAGAACCUGCCCAGAGCCAGCGUUUGCGGAAUUGAGUUGCAUUAAACCAGAUUGCUUCCCAAAGGCCCUUUGUGAACUCCGGAGGCUAAUGAAAUGCA